rnacentral:rRNA from 1 species
AAACGGGACGGACGGGAGCGGCCCCGAACGGUAGUGAUUCAUGAUUGGGGUG